rnacentral:rRNA from 1 species
GUCCACGCCGUAACGAUGAAUACUAGGUGUUGGUGGCAAGCCCAUCGGUGCCGCCGCAACGCAAUAAGUAUUCCACCUGGGAGUACGUUCGCAAGAAUGAACUCAAAGGAAUUGACGGGGACCCGCACAAGCGGUGGAGCAUGUGGUUAAUUCGAAGCAACGCGAAGAACCUUACCAAGUCUUGACAUCGUAGCGACCGGAACUUAAUCGUUCCUUCCUUCGGGGCGCUAUAGACAGGUGGUGCAUGGUUGUCGU